GACGAACGCUGGCGGCGUGCUUAACACAUGCAAGUCGAACGCUGAAGCUUGGUGCUUGCACUGGGUGGAUGAGUGGCGAACGGGUGAGUAAUACGUGAGUAACCUGCCCUUGACUCUGGGAUAAGCCUGGGAAACUGGGUCUAAUACUGGAUACGACAUGCCACUGCAUGGUGGUGUGUGGAAAGGGUUUUACUGGUUUUGGAUGGGCUCACGGCCUAUCAGCUUGUUGGUGGGGUAAUGGCCUACCAAGGCGACGACGGGUAGCCGGCCUGAGAGGGUGACCGGCCACACUGGGACUGAGACACGGCCCAGACUCCUACGGGAGGCAGCAGUGGGGAAUAUUGCGCAAUGGGCGGAAGCCUGAUGCAGCGACGCCGCGUGAGGGAUGACGGCCUUCGGGUUGUAAACCUCUUUCAGCACGGAAGAAGCGAGAGUGACGGUACGUGCAGAAGAAGCGCCGGCUAACUACGUG
rnacentral:rRNA from 1 species